UACAGAGGGGGCAAGCGUUGUUCGGAAUUACUGGGCGUAAAGGGCGCGUAGGCGGCCUGCUAAGUCGAACGUGAAAUCCCUGGGCUCAACCCAGGAACUGCGUCCGAUACUGGUUGGCUUGAAUCCGGGAGAGGGAUGUGGAAUUCCAGGUGUAGCGGUGAAAUGCGUAGAUAUCUGGAGGAAUACCGGUGGCGAAGGCGGCAUCCUGGACCAUUACUGACGCUGAGGCGCGAAAGCUAGGGGAGCAAACGGG
rnacentral:rRNA from 1 species